rnacentral:rRNA from 1 species
UGGUCAAGUUAUUAAGGGUGCAGGGCGGAUGCCUUGGCACUAGGAGCCGAUGAAGGACGUGAUAAGCUGCGAUAAGCUUCGGGGAGUUGCACGUAAACUUUGAUCCGAAGAUUUCCGAAUGAGGAAACUCACUUAGAGUAAUGUCUAAGUAUCAUUAAGUGAAUACAUAGCUUAAUGAGGGGAACUCAGGGAACUGAAACAUCUAAGUACCUGAAGGAAGAGAAAGAAAUUCGAUUCCGUAAGUAGCGGCGAGCGAACGCGGAUUAGCCCAAACCAAUAAAGUUUUCUUUAUUGGGGUUGCGGACAUAUCAUAACGAAGAGGUAUCGUAAUUGAAGAGGUUUGGAAAGACCCACCACAGAAGGUAAUAGUCCUGUAUGUUAAACGAGAAGACUUUAGAUAUGAUCCAGAGUACCACGGGACACGUGAAACCCUGUGGGAAGCAGGAGGGACCACCCUCCAAGGCUAAAUACUACCUAGUGACCGAUAGCGUAUAGUACCGUGAGGGAAAGGUGAAAAGAACCCCGGGAGGGGAGUGAAAUAGAACCUGAAACCCUGCACUUACAAGCUGUGGAAGCACAUUUCUUGUGUGACCGCGUACUUUUUGUAGAACGGGCCAACGAGUUACGUUAAGUAGCAAGGUUAAGCACUUAAGGUGUGGAGCCGUAGCGAAAGCGAGUUUUAACUGAGCGUUCAGUUACUUGACGUAGACCCGAAACCGGGCGACCUACCCAUGAGCAGGAUGAAGCGAAAGUAAAAUUUCGUGGAGGUCCGAACCCACGAGCGUUGAAAAGCUCGGGGAUGACUUGUGGGUAGCGGUGAAAUUCCAAUCGAGCCCGGAGAUAGCUGGUUCUCCCCGAAAUAGCUUUAGGGCUAGCCUCAAGGUGAGAGAUACGGAGGUAGAGCACUGAAUGUCCUAGGGGGUAUUGCACCUACCGAAGACUAUCAAACUCCGAAUGCCGUCAUCUUAUACUUGGGAGUCAGACUGUGGGUGAUAAGAUUCAUAGUCGAAAGGGCAACAGCCCAGAUCGUCAGCUAAGGUCCCUAAAUGUAAGUUAAGUGGUAAAGGAUGUGGGAUUGCACAGACAACCAGGAUGUUGGCUUAGAAGCAGCCACUCAUUCAAAGAGUGCGUAAUAGCUCACUGGUCGAGUGAUCCUGCGCCGAAGAUUUCCGGGGCUAAAACUUACUACCGAAGCUACGGCAUCAGUAAUGAUGGGUAGGGGAGCUUCCCAUACGGGUUGAAGCAUGACCGUAAGGACAUGUGGACAGUAUGGGAGUGAGAAUGUUGGCAUGAGUAGCGAGAUGUGGGUGAGAAUCCCACAGGCCGUAAACCCAAGGUUUCCAGGGGAAGGUUCGUCCGCCCUGGGUUAGUCGGGACCUAAGCUGAGGCCGAAAGGCGUAGGUGAUGGACAACAGGUUGAUAUUCCUGUACUACCGAUAACCGUUUGAGAGAAGGGAUGACACAGUAGGAUAAGCUAAGCACACUGUUGGUUAUGUGUGCCCAAGCAUUGAGGCAGUCAAAGUAGGCAAAUCCGCUUUGAUAAUGCUGGGAUGUGAUGGGGAGCGAAAUUUAGUAGCGAAGUAGCUGAUUUCACACUGUCAAGAAAAGUCUCUAUCGAGGUUAAAGGUACCCGUACCGCAAACCGACACAGGUGGGUGAGGAGAGUAUCCUAAGGCCAGCGAGAGAACUGUUGUUAAGGAACUCGGCAAAAUGACCCCGUAACUUAGGGAUAAGGGGUGCCACCAUCAGGUGGCCGCAGAGAAUAGGCCCAAGCGACUGUUUACCAAAAACAUAGGUUUCUGCUAAGUCGCAAGACGAUGUAUAGGAGCUGACGCCUGCCCGGUGCUGGAAGGUUAAGGGGAUCUGUUAGAGCAAUCGAAGCAGUGAACUUAAGCCCCAGUAAACGGCGGCCGUAACUAUAACGGUCCUAAGGUAGCGAAAUUCCUUGUCGGGUAAGUUCCGACCCGCACGAAAGGCGUAACGAUUUGGGCACUGUCUCAACAACAGACUCGGUGAAAUUGUAAUUCCGGUGAAGAUGCCGGAUACCUGCGACAGGACGGAAAGACCCCAUGGAGCUUUACUGUAGCUUGACAUUGGGUCUUGGUACUACAUGUACAGGAUAGGUGGGAGGCUUUGAAACCAGGACGCCAGUUUUGGCGGAGCCAUCCUUGGGAUACCACCCUUGUAGUACUGGGACUCUAACCAUAGGCCAUGAAUCUGGUCUUGGGACACUGUCAGGUGGGCAGUUUGACUGGGGCGGUCGCCUCCCAAAAGGUAACGGAGGCGCUCAAAGGUUCUCUCAGUACGGUCGGAAAUCGUACGUAGAGUGUAAAGGCAAAAGAGAGCUUGAUUGCAAGACAUACAGGUCGAGCAAGGAUGAAAAUCGGACUUAGUGAUCCGGUGGUUCUGCGUGGAAGGGCCAUCGCUCAACGGAUAAAAGCUACCCUGGGGAUAACAGGCUUAUCUCCCCCAAGAGUCCACAUCGACGGGGAGGUUUGGCACCUCGAUGUCGGCUCAUCACAUCCUGGGGCUGUAGUAGGUCCCAAGGGUUGGGCUGUUCGCCCAUUAAAGUGGUACGCGAGCUGGGUUCAGAACGUCGUGAGACAGUUCGGUCCCUAUCCGUCGCAGGCAUAGGAAAUUUGAGAAGACCUGUCCUUAGUACGAGAGGACCGGGAUGGACGUACCUCUGGUGUACCAGUUGUCCUGCCAAGGGCAUGGCUGGGUAGCUAUGUACGGAAUGGAUAAGCGCUGAAAGCAUCUAAGCGCGAAGCCAACUUCAAGAUAAGAUUUCCCACCGCAAGGGUAAGACCCCAGAAAGACUAUCUGGUUGAUAGGUCGAAGGUGUAAGUGCAGCAAUGUAUUUAGCUUAUCGAUACUAAUAGGUCGAGGACUUGACCAAU